GUAACAGAGUAGGUAAUUACACGUUAAGGUUUAGAGGACGGGAAGUUGUCUCUAAAAGAAAAAUCUUUAAAAGAUUUGCGAUGUGUUACCGCAUUCCGCUGUUAC
rnacentral:ncRNA from 1 species